CACAGCACAGUAGUAGUACACUGUCCCCCUACUCUGCACGCUGGCAGAAAUCCCUUUUAAUGAACGCUCUUCUCAAACCCCUCAAACCUUGUCCCUUCUCGCAAGUCACAAGCCCGUUUCUUGGCCGUUCCGGUCUCUGCCUGCUCCUCCCUCGGGCGCAGCACCACCACCUCUCCUCUGCUUGCAGCAGCCUUUCCCUCCCCUGUCAUCUCACCCAGUAUAUAUGCUCCCCCAUUUCCUGCCUCCCUUCUCUGCCUGCCUGCCUGCCUGCUUCACGCUCCACACAGAGACACAGAGGGCUCGUGCCUUGUAACUUGUUCGAGCAGCCUGUGCUGCCCUGCAGAGAGAGGGAUGGCUUGGAAUGGGUCGAGGGAGGAGGAGGAACGGGGGCUUGAGCUGAGCCUUGGCCUGCCUGGCUACUUCUCCGGAUCACCAGGCCAAGCUGGUUCGGAGGAGGAGCACAAGGGAAGCCGCCGUGGCGCUGGGGCGAAGGGGAGAAGCAGCGACGGCUUCAAGGCAAGGCCGCCAGCGGCAGCUCCAGUGGUGGGAUGGCCGCCCGUGCGCUCAUUCCGGCGGAACAUCGCCUCGUCCUCGUCCAAACCGCCGCCUGCCGAGCCACAACCACGGCACGGAGGCAAGGCCGGCAGCAGCGGCGGCGGCGGAAGCCAGAAGCAGGGCCUUUUCGUGAAGAUCAACAUGGACGGCGUCCCCAUCGGGCGGAAGGUGGACCUGAAGGCGCACGGCGGCUACGGCAAGCUCGCCGACGCCGUCGACCACCUCUUCCGAGGCCUCCUCGCCGCUCAAAGGGACGUUAAUCCGGCCAUUGCUGUAGGCCAGAGCAGCUGCGCAGGGGAGAAGAACACGGCGGCGAUCACGGGGCUUCUGGACGGCAGCGGCGAGUACACCCUGGUGUACGAGGACGACGAGGGCGACCAGAUGCUGGUCGGAGACGUCCCAUGGGAGUGAGUCUCGAAACCAAACAUCUUAAUUUCUUUGUCUUCAUGUUCGUCGCCACCGCCAAGAGGCUGCGCGUUCUGCGGAGCUCGGAUCUGAACGCGUCGUCGCUACGAGCGGCGGUGAGCCGGAAGAGGGGAGCAACGGAAAGCUGAAGCUCUUACUGAAUACUUUCCUUAUUCUCUUUUCUUUUUCUGCGAGCGGCAGAUCUUUUGGUUAUCUGGGUCACGUUGCUAUCAGCCAGAAGAUGACCCGGGGUGGGAAAGACGGAAGGGGUACACUGUUGGGAUCAUGCAUGUAGUAAGGUGCAGUGUCGUAACUCGUAAACGUGUUGGUUUUUGGAACGCCAGGAAUGUGGGUUUGGCUUUUACCGUCUACUGUUCUUUGCCUCUCAGAGGAGGCGAGAGGAGGAAUCUUGGUCAGUCGGCAGAGACAUUGCUUUUCAUCAUGGCCAUCCAUGUACAGCGAUGCGACGCUGCUUGCUUGCUGACUGGUUUCUCCCUCUGCUCUUGAAUGAAUGCUUCUCGUGAUGGGUUUUUUCCUGAAAAAAGAAAUGGUUUCUGGUGA